rnacentral:sRNA from 1 species
GGAAGAAACACAGCUCUUGACUUCUUUUUUGUAAACAUUACUAGGGAAGAUGGAAACAACAUUGCUUUUCUUUUCUCAAAUAAAUAUGUGUGAAUCAAAAGAAAAAACUUUUUUCAAGUUAAUACAUGGUUCAGGAAAAGAAGAAACAAGCAAAGAAGCCAAAAUCAGAGCUAAGGAAAAAAGAAAUAGACUAAGUCUUCUUGUGCAGAAACCUGAGUUUCAUGAAGACACCCGCUCCAGUAGAUCUGGGCACUUGGCCAGAGAAACAAGAGUCUCCCCUGAAGAGGCAGUGAAAUGGGGUGAAUCAUUUGACAAACUGCUUUCCCAUAGAGAUAGAAAGACUGAACUGAGCAGGUGAUGCAGCUAGUCUACUUACAACUGGAUGAUGAUCAAUUAGAGGGCUAAAAUUUCAAUUGACAAUAACAUAUAGACAGGAUUUCUUUCACUUAAUGAAUUAAUAUAUAAUAAUUUCAUCAUACUUUCAUUACUCAUUCAAAGUGUAGAAAGAUUUAGCAGGAUGAUUUGUCGUACAGAAAAUCCUCACCUAGCAUUCUGUAACCUUUCUUCUUUAAAAGUCGUAAAAAGCAAAAGGACAAAAUCGAAUUUGCUACUCUCUCUUUUCUCUACUGGUAAUAUUGAAGAACAGUAAACUAUCUGCAAUUUAAAUCAAGAAGAGACACAUUUAAAGAAAUCAGCACUGACCCACUAGAUAUUAUCACCUGUCAUGAUUACAAUGCGAAAUAU